rnacentral:rRNA from 1 species
GACAGAGGGUGCAAACGUUGUUCGGAUUUACUGGGCGUAAAGCGCGUGUAGGCGGCUUUGCAAGUCGGAUGUGAAAUCCCACGGCUCAACCGUGGAAGUGCAUCCGAAACUGCAUCGCUGGAGUCUCGGAGAGGAAGGUGGAAUGCUUGGUGUAGAGGUGAAAUUCGUAGAUAUCAAGCAGAACACCUGCGGCGAAGGCGGCCUUCUGGACGAUGACUGACGCUGAGGCGCGAAAGCUAGGGGAGCAAACAGG